rnacentral:lncRNA from 1 species
AGUCACAAAAACAGCCUACUGAUUCUCUAAUGCCUCCUCGUUCUCAUAACUUAACUCCCAUCACCAUAAGAAGCCAUAUCUCACGACAAGCAACAGGCAUAUGAUACAGAGAGGCGAGAAGAACCAGCCAAGCAGUGCAGCCUCCGUCCCCAUUUCAGAAGGCUUGUCACCAGAGGUCACAGCCUAACUGGUUUUCUCUCUGAUUUAAUUCCUUUUCCCAUGAGCUCUGAAAGAGUUCCACCUGGAAUCUGACUUCAGCCAAAAGCUUGGAGCCAAUUAUAUGACCUAAAAACUUCCUUCAUGUCUUAGAGAAUUUUUCCAUCAAACAUCCUUCUGGUAGUCAUAUCAAUUGGAAGGAAACCUUGCACUCGGAGAUCCAGGAAGGCUCCAGGAGAGAGAGAGAGAAGAAAGGAAGUGCUCAGGGAGAGCUCGGUGAUGGCAGGACCAGCAAGCUCACGCUGGGAUGGCAUCUUCACCACAUGCCUCAACUUGAAGAUGCCCUUUGAUUUAAAGAGUCGCUACAAUGACACACUGCCUGUGGAAAUAUUUCAGACGAUUUCCAGGUUGAACAAGGAGGCAUCACCAUCAGGGGUCCUAAGAUGAUAGCAGAAGAAAGGAAGACAAAAACAUCUCUUAAUCGUGACUCUGUCGAAUAGAACUGAAUUUUAAUUAAGCAACAAGAUGGGAGACACCAUGCAUUUCCAGGCAAUUAUGGAG